rnacentral:rRNA from 1 species
CCUACGUGUGGCAGCAGUGGGGAAUAUUGGACAAUGGGGGCAACCCUGAUCCAGCCAUGCCGCGUGUGUGAAGAAGGCCCUCGGGUUGUAAAGCACUUUCAGUGAGGAAGAACGCCUGGUGGUUAAUACCCAUCAGGAAAGACAUCACUCACAGAAGAAGCACCGGCUAACUCCGUGCCAGCAGCCGCGGUAAUACGGAGGGUGCGAGCGUUAAUCGGAAUUACUGGGCGUAAAGCGCGCGUAGGUGGCUUGAUAAGCCGGUUGUGAAAGCCCCGGGCUCAACCUGGGAACGGCAUCCGGAACUGUCAAGCUAGAGUGCAGGAGAGGAAGGUAGAAUUCCCGGUGUAGCGGUGAAAUGCGUAGAGAUCGGGAGGAAUACCAGUGGCGAAGGCGGCCUUCUGGACUGACACUGACACUGAGGUGCGAAAGCGUGGGUAGCAAACAGGAUUAGAUACCCCAGUAGUC